UGGGGAAUUUUGGACAAUGGGCGAAAGCCUGAUCCAGCAAUGCCGCGUGUGUGAAGAAGGCCUUCGGGUUGUAAAGCACUUUUGUCCGGAAAGAAAUCCUUGGCUCUAAUACAGUCGGGGGAUGACGGUACCGGAAGAAUAAGCACCGGCUAACUACGUGCCAGCAGCCGCGGUAAUACGUAGGGUGCAAGCGUUAAUCGGAAUUACUGGGCGUAAAGCGUGCGCAGGCGGUUUGCUAAGACCGAUGUGAAAUCCCCGGGCUCAACCUGGGAACUGCAUUGGUGACUGGCAGGCUAGAGUAUGGCAGAGGGGGGUAGAAUUCCACGUGUAGCAGUGAAAUGCGUAGAGAUGUGGAGGAAUACCGAUGGCGAAGGCAGCCCCCUGGGCCAAUACUGACGCUCAUGCACGAAAGCGUGGGGAGCAAACAGGAUUAGAUACCCUGGUAGUCCACGCCCUAAACGAUGUCAACUAGUUGUUGGGGAUUCAUUUCCUUAGUAACGUAGCUAACGCGUGAAGUUGACCGCCUGGGGAGUACGGUCGCAAGAUUA
rnacentral:rRNA from 1 species